CAGUCGCCGCGGGAAAACGAAGGGGGCUAGCGUUGCUCGGAACCACUGGGCGUAAAGGGUGCGUAGGCGGGUCUUUAAGUCAGAGGUGAAAUCCUGGAGCUCAACUCCAGAACUGCCUUUGAUACUGAGGAUCUUGAGUUCGGGAGAGGUGAGUGGAACUGCGAGUGUAGAGGUGAAAUUCGUAGAUAUUCGCAAGAACACCAGUGGCGAAGGCGGCUCACUGGCCCGAUACUGACGCUGAGGCACGAAAGCGUGGGGAGCAAACAGGAUUAGAUACCCCGGUAGUCCCUGUCUCUUAUAC
rnacentral:rRNA from 1 species